AGAAGGUAAGUUAUGGAGCAAUCUCAUACAAAAAUAACAUAAAAAGACCAAUUACAAGAGCAAUCGGUUAAUCUUGAUGGGCACGAGUCAAAGUUGGAUAACUGGAUGCAGGUCAAAGCUGAGAUCAGUUAGAAACGUGUCAUCAGGGUAUGGGAGUUGGAGUGCGUAUGGUUUGGUCAACAUAUUAAAGUAUCUAGGCAUAUGCUAAUGGGCAGAGGAGCGACACAUUAGGAGACUUGAAGGAACAACUCUUGAAGGCUUAUUCGUGAGUAGUUACGCUGCUUUGACUAAAUUAGAGCACUUGUAUGAUUAUUCAGCAAUUUUGUAAAACUAAUAGCAAUUAUGCACUUACGUUGCUUAGUAGACAUUUGUUUUUUUGUAAACAUUUGGAGUGUUUGAAAGAUGAUCCAACAUUUAAAUGA